UACGGGGGGGGCAAGCGUUGUUCGGAAUUAUUGGGCGUAAAGAGCUCGUAGGCGGCUUGUCGCGUCGACUGUGAAAACCCAGGGCUCAACCCUGGGCCUGCAUUCGAUACGGGCAGACUAGAGUUCGGUAGGGGAGACUGGAAUUCCUGGUGUAGCGGUGAAAUGCGCAGAUAUCAGGAGGAACACCGGUGGCGAAGGCGGGUCUCUGGGCCGAAACUGACGCUGAGGAGCGAAAGCGUGGGGAGCAAACAGG
rnacentral:rRNA from 1 species